rnacentral:lncRNA from 1 species
UGCAACGGCACCGGGUCAACUACUGUCUUUAACACUGUCAGGAUAUCCCCAUACUGAUUCACGAAACCCCCCAGACGAUCACUGGUCACAAGACUGCCCAACUCAAUCAGAGGUGUCAAAGGCUCCCGGUGAAAAACGUAGAUACAAGUCUUCCGCUUCAACUCUGGGACUGUUGCCAUCUCUGUCAGUGAACAAGCUCUGGAAUGUACCUGAGAAAUGAUAUGCAUGCAGGGAUUAGUUUUUUUCUUUUUUUUUUCUUUUUUUUUCUUUUUUUUUUUGCGUUUCUUUUUGAAAAUAAAUAUGCUAUGAUGCACAUGAUGCAGACACAACUGACUGGCGGUGCAUCUCUGAUCACAAAGUCGAAGCUUCGGUCUAAACUCAGAACCCAAAUCCAACUUGAAAACCCAAGGUCAACUGAAUAUACUGUUGUCUGAACCCAAAGUCACCAACAGAACCAUAAGUCACCAACAGUACCUGUAAUGAUGAACCCUUCCCCACUCACGGGUGUAGUCUAGGCCAAGGUAAGGUCAAGAGAAACGCAGGAUAAACAACCCUUUCAAGAAUAUCAUCCUGUGCACACCCGAUGUAUGCACCGAUAAUACCCCAUCAGAGUCUGAACUGCUCGUGAUAUCAAUGUUCCGCUAAGUGGCGUACACCACCCGCUUCCCAUGAAUCACUCUAUUCCUAGGUUUCCUAGAUUUC